rnacentral:snRNA from 1 species
AUACCUUUCUCGGCCUUUUGGCUAAGAUCAAGUGUAGUAUCUGUUCUUAUUAGUUUAUUAAUAUAUAUCUGAUAUGUGGGCCAAUGAUUUUCACGAUCAGUCGUUAUAUCGUGGACCGCAGUGCACAUGCACCGUGGUUAAAACGGCGUCGUUUCUUUGAGUAAAGAAACAGCACGCCGUUAAUGUU